GAUGAACGCUGGCGGCGUGCCUAAUACAUGCCAGUCGAGCGAACAGACGAGGAGCUUGCUCCUCUGACGUUAGCGGCGGACGGGUGAGUAACACGUGGAUAACCUACCUAUAAGACUGGGAUAACUUCGGGAAACCGGAGCUAAUACCGGAUAAUAUAUUGAACCGCAUGGUUCAAUAGUGAAAGACGGUUUUGCUGUCACUUAUAGAUGGAUCCGCGCCGCAUUAGCUAGUUGGUAAGGUAACGGCUUACCAAGGCAACGAUGCGUAGCCGACCUGAGAGGGUGAUCGGCCACACUGGAACUGAGACACGGUCCAGACUCCUACGGGAGGCAGCAGUAGGGAAUCUUCCGCAAUGGGCGAAAGCCUGACGGAGCAACGCCGCGUGAGCGAUGAAGGUCUUCGGAUCGUAAAACGCUGUUAUUAGGGAAGAACAAAUGUGUAAGUAACUAUGCACGUCUGGACGGUACCUAAUCAGAAAGCCACGGCUAACUACGU
rnacentral:rRNA from 1 species